UACGUAGGUGGCAAGCGUUGUCCGGAUUUAUUGGGUUUAAAGGGUGCGUAGGCGGCUUUGUAAGUCAGUGGUGAAAUAUGGCAGCUCAACUGUCAGGGUGCCAUUGAUACUGCAGAGCUUGAGUACAGAUGAGGUAGGCGGAAUUGACGGUGUAGCGGUGAAAUGCGUAGAUAUCAGGAGGAACACCUGUGGCGAAGGCGGCUCUCUGGUCCGAUACUGACGCUGAGGCGCGAAAGUUAGGGUAGCAAACGGG
rnacentral:rRNA from 1 species